GGGGACGUCGUAAGGAGACUGCCGGUGAUAAACCGGAGGAAGGUGGGACGACGUCAAGUCAUCAUGGCCCUUAUGACCGGGGCUACACACGUACUACAAUGGUCGGUACAGACGGUCGCAAGCUCGCGAGAGUAAGCUAAUCCGAGAAAACCGAUCGUAGUCCGGAUCGCAGUCUGCAACUCGACUGCGUGAAGUCGGAAUCGCUAGUAAUCGCAAAUCAGAAUGUUGCGGUGAAUACGUUCCCGGGCCUU
rnacentral:rRNA from 1 species